rnacentral:rRNA from 1 species
CAGCCGCGGUAAUUCCAGCUCCAAUAGCGUAUACUUAAGUUGUUGCAGUUAAAAAGCUCGUAGUUGAAAUUCGAGUCAGUUACUAGUUGGCUUUUCGUCAGUUAGUUAAUUGAUUCUCCGUCUACAAUCCCUUUUGCGCUUUAGGGUUGCAGCUGGGCGAGUAGACAAUUUACCUUGAANAAAUUAGAGUGUUCCAGGCAGGUCUUCGCCGGAAUACAUUAGCAUGGAAUAAUGGAAUAGGACUUGGGUCUUUUGUUGGUUUUAGGACUUGAGUAAUGAUUAAUAGGGACAGAUGGGGGCAUUAGUAUUUAAUUGUCAGAGGUGAAAUUCUUGGAUUUAUUAAAGACUAACUUAUGCGAAAGCAUUUGCCAAGGAUGUUUUCAUUAAUCAAGAACGAAAGUUAGGGGAUCAAAGACGAUCAGAUACCGUCGUAGUCUUAACUAUAAACUAUACCGACUCGAGAUCGGAAGGGUAAUAUAUUAGUCCCUUUCGGCAUCGUAAGAGAA